rnacentral:sRNA from 1 species
GACUAAGGUUCGACUCGAGCGAAGCGAGAGAACGUUGCCGCAGGCAACGGCCCGAAGGGCGAGGCGCUUUAGCGCCGAGUAAUCCUUCCCCCACCACCA